GAUGAACGCUGGCGGCGUGCCUAAUACAUGCAAGUCGAGCGAACAGACGAGGAGCUUGCUCCUCUGACGUUAGCGGCGGACGGGUGAGUAACACGUGGAUAACCUACCUAUAAGACUGGGAUAACUUCGGGAAACCGGAGCUAAUACCGGAUAAUAUAUUGAACCGCAUGGUUCAAUAGUGAAAGACGGUUUUGCUGUCACUUAUAGAUGGAUCCGCGCCGCAUUAGCUAGUUGGUAAGGUAACGGCUUACCAAGGCAACGAUGCGUAGCCGACCUGAGAGGGUGACCGGCCACACGUGAACUGAGACACGGUCCAGACUCCUACGGGAGGCAGCAUUAGGGAAUCUUCCGCAAUGGGCGAAAGCCUGACGGAGCAACGCCGCGUGAGUGAUGAAGGUCUUCGGAUCUUAAAACUCUGUUAUUAGGGAAGAACAAAUGUGUAAGUAACUAUGCACGUCUUGACGGUACCUAAUCAGAAAGCCACGGCUAACUACGUG
rnacentral:rRNA from 1 species